UUAACUAUUAUAUAGUACUCGGACGACACUGUAAGACAGGGUUUGGGGUUCUCUGGCGGGCGCGCACCAGCCGGGGCCGGUGGCCAAAAGGCGGCCCGCCAAAGCAACAAAGGCAAUGUAUACAAAGGGUGGGAGGUCUACCCCGAAGGGCAUGAACUCUGUAAUGAUCCUUCCGCAGGUUCACCUACGGAAA
rnacentral:misc_RNA from 1 species